GGGUUGCUUGUUGCCAUGACUCAGCGUCCUUGUCCUCAGUCAGCAGGGACAGUUGCUGUCUCCCCUCACCUUGUGAGAUUGAUGUGAAGAGCAAGUGAAGCACGGGACUGGUGUUCUUAUAAGAUGAAGAAGAAACACUAGAGAUCUCUGUCCACAUGGGCACAGAGGAAAAGCCAUGUGAGAACACGCAAGGAGGCGGCCAUCGGCAAGCAAAGACGAAAAGCCUCACCAGAAAUCAACCCUUGUGACAACUUGAUCUUGGACCUCUAGGCUCCAGAUUGUAAAACUAUAAAUACACUUCUGUUGUUUAA